UGUGUAUAUAUAUAUAUAUAGAAGGACAAUUGAGAAUUUUGGCUUUGCCUUAUUUGUAGAUAUGAGUGUGCAGCACCAGCAAUCUGAAUGAGCAGAAUGUAGAUACAGUAUAUUUACGACACUUUAUAAGUGCAAAUGAUUAGGUGAGAGGUACAAGUGGUUUUGAUUGAUUAAGGAUAUGUGGAUGCAUUUUUUGUUUUUUGCUCUCUCAUACUGUGUGUCCUCUCUGGUUUAUGUUGAUUGAUGAAGAAAGAAACUUAUCUGAGGUAGGCAGAUAUUUUUCAUGUAUAUCAGGAUUAAUUUGUGUGCAAGUGCAAACCAAAGUGAGAUUAGCAGAUCACUUCCAUGCCAUAUUCUGGUCAAGCAGGUAAGAGCCUCCAAACUGUGCAGCUGGUUGGUAACUGAAAGUCGUGUGAUCUACUUUACUAUUUACCAUUUACUAAACAUCACUUCAGUCCUCUUGUCACGCAGUUUACAGCACAUUGCAAUAGAGUGAUGAUGACUAAAUGUUUUAGGACAUGCACAGUAGUCAUCCAGACAUUUACAUUCAUUAUUAUUUAUAUUCUUUUAGAAUGAUGAUUGAAUAAUUUUUGUAGCAACAGAGAUUAUAUACACUCACGCAGCGAAACACUCUGGAAGGUAUUGAACACAGAAACUACAGGGUUACUGAAGACUUUUACUUACUUUGAAUACUGUUAUUUUUGAUUUUGUCACUAAAAA